GACUGUAUAGCUCAGCGGUUAGAGUCCCAAUUUUUUCCAGGCUGGCACCGUUUCGUUCGCGUGGGUUCGAAUCCCAAUAAGGUUG